GUCAUGUGAUGAAUUGCCAUGCUAAUACUGAGGGAUCUGCAGGAUCUCGCUGAGUUGAAAAUACUUUAGAAAAACUGAUGAUC